ACAGGUGGUGCAUGGUGGUCGUCAGCUCGUGUCGUGAGAUGUUGGGUUAAGUACCCGCAACGAGCGCAACCCUCGUUAACAUGUUGCCAGCACGUCGUGGUGGGGACUCAUGGGAGACUGCCGGGGUCAACUCGGAGGAAGGUGAGGACGACGUCAAAUCAUCAUGCCCCUUAUGUCUUGGGCUUCACGCAUGCUACAAUGGCCGGUACAAUGGGUAGCGAUACUGUGAGGUGGAGCUAAUCCCAAAAAGCCGGUCUCAGUUCGGAUUGGGGUCUGCAACUCGACCCCAUGAAGUCGGAGUCGCUAGUAAUCGCAGAUCAGCAACGUUGCGGUGAAUACGUUCCCGGUCCUUGUACACACCGCCGGUCAAGUCAGGGAGGUUGGUAACACCGGAAGCCGGUGGGCUAACCCUUGUGGGGGGAGCCGUAGAAGGUAGGACCAGCGAUUGGA
rnacentral:rRNA from 1 species